GUGUACGGGUUGUCGCGCCAGCGGCAAAUGCCCGGUAGCUGUGUCCGGAGCGGAUAAACGCUGAAAGCAUCUAAGUGUGAAGCCCACCUGAAGAUGAGUUCCCCCACAGGGUUAACCUGGUAAGACCCGCAGAAGAACACUGCGUUGAUAGGCGGCCGGUGGAAGGGUAGCAAUACCUGUAGCCAAGCCGUACUAAUCGGUCGAGGGCUUGACCUA
rnacentral:rRNA from 1 species